rnacentral:rRNA from 1 species
CCUACGGGUGGCAGCAGUGAGGAAUAUUGGUCAAUGGACGAGAGUCUGAACCAGCCAAGUAGCGUGAAGGAUGACUGCCCUAUGGGUUGUAAACCUCUUUUAUAAAGGAAUAAAACGAGGCACGUGUGCCUGUUUGCAUGUACUUUAUGAAUAAGCAUCGGCUAACUCCGUGCCAGCAGCCGCGGUAAUACGGAGGAUCCGAGCGUUAUCCGGAUUUAUUGGGUUUAAAGGGAGCGUAGAUGGGUUGUUAAGUCAGUUGUGAAAGUGUGCGGCUCAAACGUAAGAUUGCAAUUGAUACUGGCAGUCUGGAGUACAGUAGAGGUAGGCGGAAUGCGUGGUGUAGCGGUGAAAUGCUUAGAUAUCACGAAGAACCCCGAUUGCGAAGGCAGCUUACUAAACUGUGACUGACAUUGAUGCUCGAAAGUGUGGGUAUCAAACAGGAUUAGAUACCCCGGUAGUC